UGCAGCUGCUUUGUUUUCUGCGAAUAGGAGACCAGGCGGCGGCGGCACCAGCAGCAGCAGCGGAUACAUAGCUCAUUGCCAGCUUACAUUUGAAGCGUACGAAUUUUGCGUGAAUAAAACCACCGGUUAUGACUGUAAUAACUACUUCAAAAGGAGGGAAGAAUGCCGUGAUUUUAAGAGAAAGCUGGAGGAAUUUGCCCAGAGGGAAGCAGCUGCUUGUACGGCUCUAAAGGAG